rnacentral:rRNA from 1 species
AGUGAACGCUGGCGGUAGGCCUAACACAUGCAAGUCGAACGGCAGCACAGUAAGAGCUUGCUCUUACGGGUGGCGAGUGGCGGACGGGUGAGGAAUACAUCGGAAUCUACUUUUUCGUGGGGGAUAACGUAGGGAAACUUACGCUAAUACCGCAUACGACCUACGGGUGAAAGCAGGGGAUCUUCGGACCUUGCGCGAUUGAAUGAGCCGAUGUCGGAUUAGCUAGUUGGCGGGGUAAAGGCCCACCAAGGCGACGAUCCGUAGCUGGUCUGAGAGGAUGAUCAGACACAUUGGAAGUGAGACAGGGCCCAGACUCCUAGGGGGGGACGCGGUGGAGAAUAUUGGAGAAGGGGGGCAAGCCUGAUCCAGCAAUACGGGGGGAGUGAAGAAGGCCUCGGGCUGGUAAAGCCCUUUUGUUGGGAAAGAAAAAAAGCAGGUUCAUCCCCCGCUGUUCUGACGGUACCAAAAGAAUAAGCCCCGGCUAACUCCGUG